AAAUUGAAGAGUUUGAUCAUGGCUCAGAUUGAACGCUGGCGGCAGGCCUAACACAUGCAAGUCGAACGGUAACAGGAAACAGCUUGCUGUUUCGCUGACGAGUGGCGGACGGGUGAGUAAUGUCUGGGAAACUGCCUGAUGGAGGGGGAUAACUACUGGAAACGGUAGCUAAUACCGCAUAACGUCGCAAGACCAAAGAGGGGUACCUUCGGGCCUCUUGCCAUCUGAUGUGCCCAGAUGGGAUUAGCUAGUAGGUGGGGUAACUGCUCACCUAGGCG
rnacentral:rRNA from 1 species